rnacentral:rRNA from 1 species
AAUGAACGCUGGCGGCAGGCCUAACACAUGCAAGUCGAACGGAUCCUUCGGGAUUAGUGGCGGACGGGUGAGUAACGCGUGGGAACAUACCCUUUGGUACGGAAUAGCCUCGGGAAACUGGGAGUAAUACCGUAUGUGCUCUUCGGAGGAAAGAUUUAUCGCCAAAGGAUUGGCCCGCGUUGGAUUAGGUAGUUGGUGGGGUAAUGGCCUACCAAGCCGACGAUCCAUAGCUGGUUUGAGAGGAUGAUCAGCCACACUGGGACUGAGACACGGCCCAGACUCCUACGGGAGGCAGCAGUGGGGAAUCUUAGACAAUGGGGGAAACCCUGAUCUAGCCAUGCCGCGUGAUCGAUGAAGGCCUUAGGGUUGUAAAGAUCUUUCAGUGGGGAAGAUAAUGACGGUACCCACAGAAGAAAGCCCCGGCUAAACUCCGUGCCAGCAGCCGCGGU